rnacentral:rRNA from 1 species
UACGGGGGGCAGCAGUGGGGAAUAUUGCACAAUGGGCGAAAGCUGAUGCAGCGACGCCGCGUGAGGGAUGACGGCCUUCGGGUUGUAAACCUCUUUCAGCAGGGACGAAGCGCAAGUGACGGUACCUGCAGAAGAAGCACCGGCUAACUACGUGCCAGCAGCCGCGGUAAU